UACGUAGGGUGCGAGCGUUGUCCGGAAUUAUUGGGCGUAAAGAGCUCGUAGGCGGUCUGUCGCGUCUGCUGUGAAAACCCGAGGCUCAACCUCGGGCCUGCAGUGGGUACGGGCAGACUAGAGUGCGGUAGGGGAGAAUGGAAUUCCUGGUGUAGCGGUGGAAUGCGCAGAUAUCAGGAGGAACACCGGUGGCGAAGGCGGGUCUCUGGGCCGUAACUGACGCUGAGAAGCGAAAGCGUGGGGAGCAAACAGG
rnacentral:rRNA from 1 species